rnacentral:rRNA from 1 species
AGUGAACGCUGGCGGUAGGCUUAACACAUGCAAGUCGAACGGCAGCACAGUAAGAGCUUGCUCUUACGGGUGGCGAGUGGCGGACGGGUGAGGAAUACAUCGGAAUCUACUCUUUCGUGGGGGAUAACGUAGGGAAACCUACGCCAAUACCGCAUCCGACCUUCGGGUGAAAGCAUGGGAUCUUCUGACCUUGCGCGAUUGAAUGAGCCGAUGACGGAUUAGCUAGUUGGCGGGGUAAAGGCCCACCAAGGCGACGAUCCGUAGCUGAUCUGAGAGGAUGGUCGGCCGCACGAGAACUGAGACACGGUCCAGGCUACUGCGGGAGGCAGCAGUGGGGAAUAAUGGGCAAUAGGCGCAAGCCUGAUCCAACCAUACCGCGUAGGUGGAGGAGACCUUCAGGUUGUAAAGCCCUUUUGUUGGGAAAGAAGAGCAGCAGGUUAAUACCCCGCUGUUCUGACGGUACCCGGUGAAUAAGCACCGGCUAACUUCGUG